CCUACGGGAGGCAGCAGUGGGGAAUAUUGCGCAAUGGGCGAAAGCCUGACGCAGCGACGCCGCGUGAGGGAUGAAGGUCUUCGGAUCGUAAACCUCUGUCAGCAGGGAAGAACGGUCACUGUGCUAAUCAGCAGUGAAUUGACGGUACCUGCAAAGGAAGCACAGGCUCACUCCGUGCCAGCAGCCGCGGGUAUACGGAGGGUGCGAGCGUUAAUCGGAAUUACUGGGCGUAAAGCGUUCGUAGGCGGUAUGUCAAGUCAAGGGUGAAAUCCCCGCGCUCAACGUGGGAACUGCCUUUGAAACUGGCAGACUGGAGUGUGUGAGAGGAUAGUGGAAUUCCAGGUGUAGGAGUGAAAUCCGUAGAUAUCUGGAGGAACAUCAGUGGCGAAGGCGACUAUCUGGCACAUAACUGACGCUGAGGAGCGAAAGCGUGGGUAGCAAACAGGAUUAGAUACCCUAGUAGUC
rnacentral:rRNA from 1 species